GACGAACGCUGGCGGCGUGCUUAACACAUGCAAGUCGAACGGAAAGGCCCUGCUUUUGUGGGGUGCUCGAGUGGCGAACGGGUGAGUAACACGUGAGUAACCUGCCCUUGACUUUGGGAUAACUUCAGGAAACUGGGGCUAAUACCGGAUAGGAGCUCCUGCUGCAUGGUGGGGGUUGGAAAGUUUCGGCGGUUGGGGAUGGACUCGAGGCUUAUCAGCUUGUUGGUGGGGUAGUGGCUUACCAAGGCUUUGACGGGUAGCCGGCCUGAGAGGGUGACCGGCCACAUUGGGACUGAGAUACGGCCCAGACUCCUACGGGAGGCAGCAGUGGGGAAUAUUGCACAAUGGGAGGAAGCCUGAUGCAGCAACGCCGCGUGCGGGAUGACGGCCUUCGGGUUGUAAUCCGCUUUCGCCUGUGACGAAGCGUGAGUGACGGUAAUGGGUAAAGAAGCACCGGCUAACUACGUG
rnacentral:rRNA from 1 species